AGUGAACGCUGGCGGUAGGCCUAACACAUGCAAGUCGAACGGCAGCACAGUAAGAGCUUGCUCUUACGGGUGGCGAGUGGCGGACGGGCGAGGAAUACAUCGGAAUCUACUUUUUCGUGGGGGAUAACGUAGGGAAACUUACGCUAAUACCGCAUACGACCUACGGGUGAAAGCAGGGGAUCUUCGGACCUUGCGCGAUUGAAUGAGCCGAUGUCGGAUUAGCUAGUUGGCGGGGUAAAGGCCCACCGAGGCGACGAUCCGUAGCUGGUCUGAGAGGAUGAUCAGCCACACUGGAACUGAGACACGGUCCAGACUCCUACGGGAGGCAGCAGUGGGGAAUAUUGGACAAUGGGCGCAAGCCUGAUCCAGCCAUACCGCGUGGGUGAAGAAGGCCUUCGGGUUGUAAAGCCCUUUUGUUGGGAAAGAAAAGCAGCAGGUUAAUACCCCGCUGUUCUGACGGUACCCAAAGAAUAAGCACCGGCUAACUUCGUG
rnacentral:rRNA from 1 species